AAUUUUCCGCAAUGGGCGCAAGCCUGACGGAGCAACGCCGCGUGAGGGAUGAAGGUUUUCGGAUCNUCAACCUCUGUCUUCGGGGANGAUAAUGACGGUACCUGAGGAGGAAGCCACGGCUAACUACGUGCCAGCAGCCGCGGUAAUACGUAGGUGGCGAGCGUUGUCCGGAAUUACUGGGCGUAAAGGGCGUGUAGGCGGGCUUUUAAGUCAGGUGUGAAAUCUCAGGGCUUAACCCUGAAGCUGCAUUUGAAACUGGAGGGCUUGAGGAUCGGAGAGGGCAGUGGAAUUCCCAGUGUAGCGGUGAAAUGCGUAGAUAUUGAGAGGAACACCAGUGGCGAAGGCGACUGCCUGGACGACACCUGACGCUGAGGCGCGAAAGCUAGGGUAGCGAAC
rnacentral:rRNA from 1 species